UAGGGAAUCUUCGGCAAUGGACGAAAGUCUGACCGAGCAACGCCGCGUGAGUGAAGAAGGUUUUCGGAUCGUAAAACUCUGUUGUUAGAGAAGAACAAGGACGUUAGUAACUGAACGUCCCCUGACGGUAUCUAACCAGAAAGCUACGGCUAAUUACGUGCAAGCAGACGCGGUAAUACGUAGGUGGCAAGCGUUGUCCGGAUUUAUUGGGCGUAAAGCGAGCGCAGGCGGUUUCUUAAGUCUGAUGUGAAAGCCCCCGGCUCAACCGGGGAGGGUCAUUGGAAACUGGGAGACUUGAGUGCAGAAGAGGAGAGUGGAAUUCCAUGUGUAGCAGUGAAAUGCGUAGAUAUAUGGAGGAACACCAGUAGCGAAGGCGGCUCUCUUGUCUGUAACUGACGCUGAGGCUCGAAAGCGUGGGGAGCAAACAGG
rnacentral:rRNA from 1 species